rfam:Nicotiana attenuata strain TT scaffold07128, whole genome shotgun sequence.
GGCUGCGAUCAUACAGCACUAACGCACCGGAUCCCAUCAGAACUCCGAAGUAGCGUGCUUGGGCGAGAGUAGUACUAGGAUGGGUGACCCCUGGGAAGUCCUCUGUUUGCAUCCC